rnacentral:rRNA from 1 species
UACGUAGGGGGCAAGCGUUGUCCGGAAUCAUUGGGCGUAAAGCGCGCGUAGGCGGCCCGGUAAGUCCGUUGUGAAAGUCAAAGGCUCAACCUUUGAAUGCCGACGGAUACUGCCGGGCUAGAGUACGGAAGAGGCGAGUGGAAUUCCUGGUGUAGCGGUGGAAUGCGCAGAUAUCAGGAGGAACACCUAUAGCGAAGGCAGCUCGCUGGGACGUUACUGACACUGAGGCGCGAAAGCGUGGGGAGCGAACAGG